rnacentral:rRNA from 1 species
UACGGGGGGGGCAAGCGUUGUUCGGAAUUACUGGGCGUAAAGGGCUCGUAGGUGGCCAACUAAGUCAGACGUGAAAUCCCUCGGCUUAACCGAGGAACUGCCCUCCAAACUGCUUGGCUUGAGACCGGGGAGAGGUGAGUGGAAUUCCCAGUGUAGCGGUGAAAUGCGUAGAUAUCAGGAAGAACACCCGUGGCGAAGGCGGGUCUCUGGGACGUUACUGACGCUGAGACGCGAAAGCGUGGGGAGCAAACAGG